GAUGAAGAACGUAGCGAAAUGCGAUAAGUAAUGUGAAUUGCAGAAUUCAGUGAAUCAUCGAAUCUUUGAACGCACAUUGCGCCCCCUGGUAUUCCGGGGGGCAUGCCUGUCCGAGCGUCAUUACAACCCUCAAGCUCAGCUUGGUGUUGGGCCCCGCCGCCCCGGCGGGCCCUAAAGUCAGUGGCGGUGCCGUCCGGCUCCGAGCGUAGUAAUUCUUCUCGCUCUGGAGGUCCGGUCGUGUGCUCGCCAGCAACCCCCAAUUUUUUUCAGGUUGACCUCGAAUCAGGUAGGGAUACCCGCUGAACUUAAGCAUAUCAAUAAGCGGAGGA
rnacentral:misc_RNA from 1 species